GAUAGAGAAGCCAAGAAAGAAGGUUUCAGGAAGUAUCUUGAAUCCAGCGGCGUGCUCGAUACUCUCACGAAAGCUCUUGUUGCGUUGUAUGAGGAGAACGACAAGCCAUCAUCGGCAGUCGAGUUUGUUCAGCAGAAAUUGGGUGGUCCAUCGAUUUCCGACUAUGAAAAGCUCAAAGCCGAGAAGUUGGAUUUGCAACUGAAGUAUAAUGAGCUUUUAGAGACUCACAAGGAAACAAGUAGACAGUUGGAGGAACUUAAGAAUUUGAAGAUCGACGCACCUUGGAACUAA
rnacentral:rRNA from 1 species